GAGCCUGCAUUUCAAAUCUAGGGGACUUGAGACUGGGGCAAACCUGGAGAUUGCUGGGGACUGCUGGGGACUACUGGGGACUGUUGGGUGGCAGACCUGGGGAUUGCUGGAGACUGUGUGGUGGCUGACCUAGGAAUUACUGAGACCUAAGGUUUACAGGGGGCUGUGGGUUGGCAGACCUGGGGGUGGAUGGAUAUUAUUUAUUCCUAGUGAGAUGGCAGUCUGUAGCCUCGGAGUCCAGCAGCACACAAGUCAGGUCUCAAGCUCUCCUUAAUAGGGGUCUCAGGCAAGCUGUGAGGGCCCCUCUGCUUUCCAGUGUUCUUAGGAAGCCUCUGGUACCCCCUGUGCAGCACUGGGCCCAGGUUCGCUGACCACUGACCAUAUCACAACUCUUGGGAGUUCUCAGGAGCCUGCUUUGUCCAGUGAGGAGAGAUUCACAGAGAGCCAGCAGAUCCUCACAGGCUCGCAGACAUUGGCCCUUUCCCGUUGCCCCAGCAGCUAAGUCAGGGGCUACUCAGCUUCCCCUGGGGCUCAGCUCCUCACCCCGAUCCUGUCCCCACUUCAGCUCUUGUUUUUUUGGCUUUUAUUUGUAUGAAUUCCUUGGGAACUUCACAUGUAUUUCGAUCACAAUCCCUCCUCUACCCCUCUCCUCCCAGAACCACCCCCAUCCUAUUCCAGCUCACCGACUCCGUGUCCUUAUUCAUUUCUGCUAAACUUUUUGUUUUCGAGCUUUCUUUUUAAUUAUGUAUAUGUGCCCAGGGAGGCUAGAGAACUCAGAUCUCCCUGUGGCAGUCGUGAGUUGCCCAUCACUAUAGGUGCUGGGAGUCGAACUUGUGUCCUCUGCAAGAGCAGUGUGUGCUCUUAGCCACCGAGCCAUUUCUUCAGCCCCCUGGCUUUGUUUUUGUUUGUUUUGUUGUUGAGAUAGGUCCCACACAUCCUGGGCUGGACUUUAAAUAGCUAUGGGGUUAAAAAGACCUUGAGCCUUUCAUCCUCCUGCCUCCACUGCCCAAGUCUGGGAUGCUCCACCGUUUAUGAGGGGCUGGGGAUGGAACUCAGGCUAGUCUAACAUUUUGCCAUCUGAGCUGUAUCCCCAGGGCAUUCAAGCUCUUCCUCGUGUUCCUGUCUGGAAUCUGGCUGAGAAUCUCCUACUGUUGCUGUCAACCAAUCUCAUCCGUGUCUGUUUCCCACACAACUCCACCUUCAGCUGGGGCCUGAGGGUACCCUGUGCCCACCACUCCCUUCCCAUCCAUCUUAUUCAUCUCACCAUCCGGCCAUCUACCCAUGUGCCAGAGAGGACCCCGAGUCGUAGCAUCACAGACUUAGCACUCUCGGAGGCUCCUCUCUUCUGUCUGGUGAGCAUGUUCUCAGCACCAUGGCUUCUUUUUACUUCCCACUGCAUUCUAUCCGCUUCCUCUUCUCCAGCACACACAUCCCCUGGCCUGUGCAUGCCUUUCCUC
rnacentral:lncRNA from 1 species